GCAUAUUUCAGCGAACUUCGAAAACAAGGAAAAAAAGAAGAAAAGAAAAACACGCCGAACGUGGCGAUUUCAGUUUUCAAGAAUUACUUUAUAUCGCUGCUUCAAUAUAAAAGUCCUCGUUAAUUUGCGACAGCGCUUGCGUAUUCCAGUAACUUGAAAAGCAAAAAUACCCGUUAAACGUCGUGAUUCCAGUUUCUAAGAAUUAUUUUAUAUCGCUGUUUCGGUAUAAAAGCCGUCGUUAAUUUUGCUAGCAGCAUUUGCGUAUCUCGGUAAUUACAAAAAUAGAAAAUACGUUAAACAUGGGGAUUCCAGUUUCUGAAAAUAUUUGACUAACACGGAGAUAGCAAGAGCUGCGAAAUCUCGGAUGAACUGGCUGUGUGUGCAACGUGCCAUUAGAUGCUUUAGGUCGAUGAUAGAAAUUGCAACAGAAACGUUUCAAACGUAAGAAUCUCGAAACACCAAGAGCGUAAUUUCUCGAUUAAUUUGUCGACAAGAAAGGGCAAGAUGCAUCCUUUUGGGGUUGUUUUACCUAAAGCGUCGAACACGCAUAUAGUUACCUCUUUCGAGAUUUCACAGUUCUUGCCAUCUGCUUCGAACGUUUGAAGAACAUACGAUAUCCAAUGUGCAUCGAUCAAUUAACGUACACGAGAAGCACCAUAAACACACACAAAGGUACGAGAAACGCGAAAAGUACCACGUACUAAACGACGUAUGCCUACCAUUCGAACAUUCUGUAACAAGAGGUACCUUUGGAAAGUAUGUAAAAAUGGUUCGAUCAGCAUGGGUAACCGCGAAGAAGGAGAAAAAGAAGGAAAAAGAGAGAAUGAAAAAAAGGAUUGCCGCUGCACCCGGAUUCUCUAUCCGUGUCAGUGAAGACGAAACGUCGUAGCGCGACUCUCUCUCUUGUGAAAAUCUAUGGCAGCUUUCAUACCGAUUACAAUGGCUUCCGUUCAAACGCGUCUAUAUCGAUCGUGAAAUCCAGGCGGCCGUAAUGAGCGAAACAUGUUUACAAUUAUUAUUUGGUCGCGUUCGCUGCCUUGCGUUCCGCGGUGUGAAAUCACGGCACAGCCACCAACUCCAUCGACUCUAAAAUCUCUAAAACGUUAGGCGAAAUUUUGCCACACGCCUGAAAAUUUUCGUUCGUCCCGUAUCGACGUAGAACGUGUGAUUCGUUUUAUCCUUCCGCUUUAGUUGAAAACUACUAGCGAAAGUCGCACGGAAAACAAUGCACGGAGUUUUUUAAUUUAAAUUGCCCCGUUUUCCACCAGGGAGAUUAAAUUUAAGUUCGUUUACCGGGCGUAGCUUACCGGUUAAAUUAAAUACGUUGCCUGAUUGUGAAUUAGAUAUUCCGAGGUUAUUUUAAUUUCAUCGAAUUUUGAGCUUCCAACUUCCCGCUUUUCGCAUUAAUAACGUAUUAUGUUUAUGCGUGUGUGCUUUCUAACAAUAGCAACAAUAUAUAAAAUAAAGUUGAUCGAUUAAUACUUGUUACACUUUGCUUUAUAUACAACGUACUAUUUACUUAUGUAAAUCCUGUAAUGGAUACAAUUAGUCAAGACUUUUUCUGGUCACUGUUACGUAUUUCAAGUAUGAAUUUGU